rnacentral:rRNA from 1 species
UUUUAUGAGAGUUUGAUCCUGGCUCAGGACGAACGCUGGCGGCGUGCCUAAUACAUGCAAGUCGUACGCUUCUUUUUCCACCGGAGCUUGCUCCACCCGAAAAAGAAGAGUGGCGAACGGGUGAGUAACACGUGGGUAACCUGCCCAUCAGAAGGGGAUAACACUUGGAAACAGGUGCUAAUACCGUAUAACAAUCGAAAUCGCAUGAUUUUGAUUUGAAAGACGCUUUCGGGUGUCGCUGAUGGAUGGACCCGCGGUGCAUUAGCUAGUUGGUGAGGUAACGGCUCACCAAGGCCACGAUGCAUAGCCGACCUGAGAGGGUGAUCGGCCACAUUGGGACUGAGACACGG